rnacentral:lncRNA from 1 species
UCCCUCGCAAUUAAGUCAUUUUCUGUCCUUCUCACUCGGUUCGACCACGACUAAACACUCAAACACCACCCCGCGCUCUCUCUCCUUCUCACUCAGCUCUCUCAACUCGACCUAGAACCCGCGAAACUAGAAAACUCAAACACCAGCCUCUCUCCUUCUCACUGUUCUCUCUCAGAUCUCGAUUCUCACUCUCUCCUUCAUCUUCUCACUCUCUCUAUUCUUCUUCGUAGUCUCUCCUUCUUCUUCUUAGUCUCUACUUCAUCUUUCAUGUUCGUAUUAAUGGGGCUCUCCAGCAAGAGCUGUUUUCAAAUCGGAUAUUGGGAAACUUGGUGCUACAAAAGGAUUUGCUGGGAAGGCUCACUGCUCGUAGUGUAGUGCAGAAAAACAGAAGGCUUGUUUGUCUAAAUUUAUGGGGAGUCUUUUUCCCCAAUCAAUUUAUGGGUCUUGUUAAUUCAUUACCUAGACUAUUUGACAGCCAAACACUCAGUUAUCAAAAACCAAGCUAUCUCUGUUCUCUUUCCAUUCCGCUCCCACUUCUCUCCUAAGCUCUCAAAUACUUGAAUCUUCUCACUUCAUUUCAUCUAAGGUCUAAAAUCAGUAGCUACUUUACCUCUAUGCCUUGCUUCUCAUCAUGUUAAGAGAACAAAUGGAGGACUUUAAGAUUUCAAACCACUGAGCUUGUCUCUAUUUUGCUUCAAUACCAGAAAUUUUCUUUCCUUU